GCUGAAAGAAGAAAUAUUCUCUCCACUGCACUUCAGGACUGUCAUAUGCUGUGACGCAUUUCCCCUUCCGGCAGCUCCUACACAAGGAUGUGUGUCUGAAGCACUCUCUCAGUAUGAAGUGAUAACAGAAGAGGGUUUAGAGAAGUCAGUGGAAAGAGAAGAAUCAAACUGAUGACAUCAGGCAACAUGAUCCAACUUAGUGACCUUCAGAAGUUUUCUGAGGAUCACUCAGAUAAAAACUGUACCAAAAGAUGAGUCACAGAAGAGCUUGGGGACAAGCAGCACCUGUUGUGCCUGCAACUCCUUUCUUUGCUCUCAGUAAAUGUGAUUCAGACCAUUUCUGGGGUGGAUGCGGUAGUUUUGCUUUCAGGCUACUGGAAAGCAGACUCCUGCUGUUUUUUCCAAGGAACUGGUUUUCUCAUGGCAGUGGGUUUUAUUUUCAUUAGGUGUAGGGUUUUUCUUCUUUUCUAGCUCUCAGGUGUGGAGUAAGAGGUUCCUUGCUGUUUUCUGGCUUCCCAUCUCAGUAUCCUCCUAUGGCACACCGUGACAUGGCAACUAAGCAACUCUUCUGCCCUGCCUCCACAGGCAUGCUAUUUCAGCUCUGUAAUUUUUAGCUAAGUGGAUGAUUUUCCUCCUUCACUUCUUUCUCUGACAUGUAAGUAAUUCCCCAUCCCACCAAAUAAAUCAAAAGCAGCAUGAGUUGGAAGAUGUCAGGUGCGAAUGACAAGAAAAACAAAUAAAUAACCCCUAAACCCCCUCCCAGAUCUCAGAUUUUGAGCUUAGUCCUGUCCUUGAGUAGUUUUCUGACUCACACUGGGUUCC